ensembl:lncRNA
UGGGAAUGGUGGGAAUGUGGGAAUGGUGGGAUUGGGAAUGGUGGGAAUGGUGGGAAUGGUGGGAAUGGUGGGAAUGGUGGGAAUGGUGGGAAUGGGAAUGGGGGAAUGGGAAUGGUGGGAAUAAAGGGAAUGGGAAUGGUGGGAAUGGUGGGAAUGUGGGAAUGGGAAUGGGGGAAUAGGAAUGGUGGGAGUGGUGGGAAUAAUGCGAUUGGGAAUGAUGGGAUUUCAUGGUCCAGGAGUAGUUGGACCAGGGGCAGGGAGUCGUCGAUGCAGCUCUGGGAAUGUAGGAAUGGGAAUGGUGGGAAUGUGGCAAUGUGGGAAUGGGAUUGGGAAUGGUGGGAUUGGGAAUGAUGGGAUUGGGAAUGAUGGGAUUGGGAAUGAUGGGAUUGGGAUUUCAUGGUCCAGGAGGAGACGGACCAGGGGAAUCGUCAAUGCAGCUCUGGGAAUGUGGGAAUGGGAUUGGGAAUAAUGGGAAUGGGAAUGGUGGGAAUAAUGGGAAUGUGGGAAUGGGAAUGGUGGGAAUAAAGGGAAUGGGAAUGGUGGGAAUGGGAAUGGGAUUGGGAAUGGGAAUGGUGGGAAUGUGGGAAUGGUGGGAAUGUGGGAAUGGGAUUGGGAAUGAUGGGAUUGUGGGAAUGGGAAUGAGAAUGGUGGGAAUGCGGGAAUGGUGGGUAUGAGAAAAAUGGGAUUGGGAAUGGUGGGAUUGGGAUUUCAUGGUCCAGGAGCAGCCGGACCAGGGGCAGGGAAUCGUCGAUGCAGCUCUGGGAAUGCGGGAAUGGGAUUCGGAAUAAUGGGAACGGGAAUGGUGGGAAUGGGAAUGGUGGGAAUAACGGAAAUGGGAAUAACAGGAUUGGGAAUAAUGGGAUUGGGAAUAAUGGGACUGGGAAAAAUGGGAUUGGGAAUAAUGGGAUUUCAUGGUCCAGAAGCAGCUGGGCCAGGGGCAGGGGGUCGUCGAUGCAGCUCUGGGAAUGGGGGAAUGGGAAUGGAAUUGGGAAUAAUGGGAAUGGGAAUGGUGGGAAUGUGGGAAUGCUGGGAUUGGGAAUGGUGGGAAUAAUAGGAUUGGGAAUAAUGGGAUAUGGAAUAAUGGGAUUUCAUGGUCCAGGAGCAGCUGGACCAGGGGCAGGGAGUCAUCGAUGCAGCUCUGGGAAUGGGGGAAUGGGAUUGGGAUUGGGAAUAACAGGAAUGAUGGGAAUGGGAUUGGGAAUGGUGGGAAUGUGGGAAUGGGAAUGGUGGGAAUGGUGGGAAUGUGGGAAUGUGGGAAUGUGGAAAUGGUGGGAUUGGGAAUGGUGGGAAUGGGAAUGGUGGGAAUGUGGGAAUGGUGGGAAUGGUGGGAAUGGUGGGAAUGGUGGGAAUGGGAAUAAUAGGAUUGGGAAUAAUGGGAUUGAGAAUAAUGGGAUUUCAUGGUCCAGGAGGAGAUGGACCAGGGGCAGGGAGUCGUCGAUGCAGCUCUGGGAAUGGGGGAAUGGGAAUGGUGGGAAUGGGAUCGGGAAUGUGGGAAUGUGGGAAUGGGAAUGGUGGGAAUGGGAAAAAUGGGAAUGUGGGAAUAAUGGGAUUGGGAUUUCAUGGUCCAGGAGCAGCCGGACCAGGGGCAGGGAGUCGUCGAUGCAGCUCUGGGAAUGGUGGGAAUGGGAAUGGGAAUGGGAUUGGUGGGAUUAGGAAUGGUGGGAAUGGGAUUGGGAAUGGUGGGACUGGGACUGGGGGUAAUGGGAUUUCAUAGUCCAGGAGAAGAUGGAGCAGGGGCAGGGAGUUGUCGAUGCACCUCUGGGAAUGUGGGAAUGGGAUCAGGAAUAAUGGGAAUGGCAGGAAUGGGAAUGGUGGGAAUGGGAAUAAUGGGAUUGGGAAAAAUGGGAUAUGGAAUAAUGGGAUUUCAUAGUCCAGGAGCAGCUGGACCAGGGGCAGGGGGUCGUCGAUGCAGCUCUGGGAAUGGGAUUGGGAAUAAUGGGAAUGGGAAUGGCGGGAAUGUGGGAAUGUGGGAUUGGGAAUGGUGGGAAUAAUGGGAUUGGGAAUGAUGGGAUUGGGAUUUCAUGGUCCAGGAGCAGCCAGACCAGGGGCAGGGAGUCAUCAAUGCAGCUCUGGGAAUGGGAAUGGUGGGAAUGGGAAUGGGAUUGGGGGGAUUAGGAAUGAUGGGAAUGGGAUUGGGAAUGAUGGGAAUGGUGGGAUUGGGAUUGGGGAAUUAGGAAUGGUGGGACUGGGAUUGGGAUUGGGGGGGAUUAGGAAUGGUGGGAAUGGGAUUGGGAAUGAUAGGUUUGGGAAUGGUGGGAUUUGGAAUAAUGCGAAUGAUGGGACUGGGAU